rnacentral:snoRNA from 1 species
AAGACUAUACUUUCAGGGAUCAUUUCUAUAGUUUCUAACUUGAGAAAUGUGUUACUAAAGUGAUUGGUCUCGCUAACCACGAUGAAGAGGUAAUGAUACUUCUCUCUGAGUGUGGAUCGUACUUCAGUUAGUGAGUCUCUCACAUGACUGUUGUAAUUGAUGACUGUUCACUGUCGGCCAGUGAAUGCCGAUAGCGAUGGGAGGAGUAUGUUCAGAGUAGU